CCAGCCUGUUAUAUUGCAGUCGCAAGAUCCCUCUUGUGUCUGCAGCGGGGAGGUGACAGAGGAAAUCUCCAAUCAUCAGGAAAAUCGUCAAGAACACCAGAAGGGUGUUCCACUAACAGCAGCAGCUCGAAUGCAGAGAUGGGCUCUGAUUUUUGGAGGACACAAUUACAAGAUCAAAUUCAAGAGGAUAACUAAUCAUGGAUAUGAUUUACAACAGAAAUAGAAACAGCAGAUCCUGGAACUACUUUGCACCAAGAAAUUAGAAGACAAGAUUGUGGAGAUCAAAGGUGGAGACCAAGAAAAACUACAUCAUUCAAAUGUUGGCAAAGGUUUAUUAAGUGCAAAUCACAUGUCUGGAAUGUAGUAAA